GCUUUUUUAGAGUGUAAUUUAAUUUCACUUCAUUAGAAGUGUAUUUAAGUGUACUUCCAUGAAGUGCACUUUAAUGCAAAUACUUUUUAAGCUGUAUUUCAGUGUACUUAGAAAAAGUAUACUAAGUUGCACAUACUUAAAGUGGUACUUUAGUGUACUUCUGAAAAGUACACUUCAUUUCAAGUCCUUUGUAAUACACUAUUAAAAUGCUUUAUCAAAGUAUACUUAAAUUUCCCUUUAUUAGUAGUGUAUUUAAGUAUACUUCCUUACAGUUCACUUUAAUGCAAGUUAAUUUUAAGCUGUAUUUCAGUGCACUUAGAAAAAGUAUACUAAAUUGCAAAAACUUAUAGUUGUCAUUCAGUGUGAUUCUGAAAAGUACACUUAGUAAUACACUAUUAACAUGCUUCAUUUUUAGUAUACUUUAAUUUCACUUCAUUAGAAGUUUAUUUAAGUAUAUUCAUACAUCAUCACAACCAAAGUGUUGAAUUAAUCAAAAAAAUACAGAUAAAUAAUACUGAAAUGGCUACUUUUACUAGCUCCAACGACUAACUAUUAAAGAAAAUCCAAGGCUAUAACCAAAAUUUGAAAAUAGCAAGUUUAUAACGGCCAUCCAAUCAGUGUGCGGCUGCAAAUCGACGUCCAAUGAGAAUGUAGUAUUUAGGUCGCCAAUUGGUGGUUUACUCAAAUACACUUGGCGCGGACGGUUAGUGUUCCAUUUGAAAUUGAGCAGUGAGCACCUAAUAUCUCCGGGUCAAACAAUGACAGUGUUUGGUUUGUUUUAUUUCCAAGACGGCUCCGUUAGAGCAGAUAAUACAUCCGUCAUACGUGAUGCAUACAGAAAUAAAAAAAAUAACGGUUAACUGCAGGGAAGACCUCGAGUCGGAGCAGGGCUGGAUAGAGGUAAUUUGGCCUACACAACGGCGACAACAAGAGGCGAAGCCUAUUGCAGCCAAAUUGCUUUUCUUUGGAGACACGGUGAGGGAGAAAUUCCCCAACACCAUGGUUAGUGAGAUCCGGGCCCUGCUGCGGAGGAAAUGCAAUAAUGAGGGCUACACCAAGGUUGCUCCUCAGUAGCUUUAUUAUAUAUGUUAUAUAUGUCAGAUGUUUUAAAGUUAGGUGUUAUUGAAUGUAUGUUUGUAUUAAUAUUUAAAUUAAAGUUUUGGUUUGUACAAUUUAAGUGUUUUUUGUCAUG